AUGCCACUUCAGGGCCGUGAGCAGGGAGGGAGGGACCCCGGGGGGACAGCCAGGGACCUGCCCUCACAGAGACAGAGGCUGGUGUGGACAGCGAGCCAAGUGGCUGCACCCGGAGGGGUCGGGGAGGGGCCUGGCGGAGUGAGGAGCCAUGCCCACGAACCGGAGGGCUUCCCGGAGGACAGACAGCUGCGCGGAGAUCCUGGAGGCCCGUCUCCCGGGCCACGCCGGUUCUCCCCACGGCGUCUCCCAGUAUGUGUGGAGGAGGCAGCAAGGAGACGUCUGUGUCGCCCGCCCGCACGGGUGGCGCCACCAGCCUGCCCACAAGCCAUCUGCCUCUUUCCUCUCCCGGGGAGCAGAGACGCAGGGAGGAGGAGACGCUGGCUGGAGCCAGAGCUGGGAGCACCUGCCAGAACCCAUCCAGUGCCCGGCCCUGCUGGCCAGUGCUCCUGCCUAUCCCAGCUCUGGCAGGUUGGGUGAGAAGGCCUGAGCAG
rnacentral:lncRNA from 1 species